rnacentral:rRNA from 1 species
CAGUCGAACGAGAAUCUGCGGAAAGAGGAUUCGUCCAAUUGAAGCAGAGGACAGUGGCGGACGGGUGAGUAACGCGUGAGGAACCUGCCUUUCAGAGGGGGACAACAGUUGGAAACGACUGCUAAUACCGCAUGACAUAUAGAUGUCGCAUGGCAUUUAUAUCAAAGAUUUAUCGCUGAAAGAUGGCCUCGCGUCUGAUUAGCUAGUUGGUGAGGUAACGGCCCACCAAGGCGACGAUCAGUAGCCGGACUGAGAGGUUGAACGGCCACAUUGGGACUGAGAUACGGCCCAGACUCCUACGGGAGGCAGCAGUGGGGAAUAUUGGGCAAUGGGCGCAAGCCUGACCCAGCAACGCCGCGUGAAGGAAGAAGGCUUUCGGGUUGUAAACUUCUUUUGUCAGGGACGAGUAGAAGACGGUACCUGACGAAUAAGCCACGGCUAACUACGUGCCAGCAGCCGCGGUAAUACGUAGGUGGCAAGCGUUGUCCGGAUUUACUGGGUGUAAAGGGCGUGUAGCCGGGAGGGCAAGUCAGAUGUGAAAUCCACGGGCUCAACUCGUGAACCGCAUUUGAAACUACUCUUCUUGAGUAUCGGAGAGGCAAUCGGAAUUCCUAGUGUAGCGGUGAAAUG